UCCUAGGUGCUUUAUUACUUGUAUUACUGGAUUGCCUUAAUAUUGCUGAACUCUGCCUGUUUAACCCUUUAAUUGCUAGAUUGCCUUAUCAUUGCUGAACGCUGCCUGUCUGACUACUCAGCUUGUUUAACCCUUGAAUUGCUGGAUUGCCUUAAUAUUGCUGAACCCUGCCUGUCUGACUACUCUGCCUGGUUUACCCCUGAACUGCUAAACUGCUGGAUUAUCUUUUCUUGCUGACCUUUGCCUGUUCCUGACCACUCUAUUGGUUUAUCCCUGAACUGCUACUGUGCUGGAUUGCCUUUCUGUUGCCGUGAAGGACUACCCUGUCUAACGACAGAAUCCAUCUACACAUCAGUUUUUCAAUGUGUGAAAAAUGAAAGUUGACGACGUAUGCCACCAACCAGACUUGAAACAGACUGAAAACAUCCUUAAAUGAAAAGUGAAGUAUAGCCAACAACCACAAAUCAGAAAUGGACAGGACCCUUAAAAUCAAUGGCUCCAGGUUCUCACUAUGCUCGUUAUAUAGAACCAAGAUAAUUAUUUGUUAUGCACUGAAAAACACAGAGAACAAUAUUUCUAUGGAGCAAUCCAUCCUCUUAUGCCAUUGAAAUUAACAGACUUCCCUCUUUUACAUAGUUUAUUAUAAAUAAUUAGAUUGUAAGAAGCUAUCCUUACAAUACUUGGUUGACAUUACAGUGCAUAUAUUACUGUGUAGAGCUUCAAAUGUGACAAAUUACAACUUCUCUGUCUGUCUAUGUUUAUGAUACAACUAUACGAAUAAACAGUUUAUUAAAUUAGUGAAAAUGGCAAGCUUCUGUUUGCAGAGUAUACAUAUAAUUAUUUUCAAUUUGUUUUUAAAAUUCAAAGUCAUUCCACCCCAGAAAACAAAACCUUUUAGUGUAAAGGGCCAGAUAGUCAAUAUUUUAGGCUUUGCUGAGCAAGAGGCAAAAUCAAUUAAAUUAUGUAGCUACGUUUAUAAUAAUAAAAGAAUUUUCAACAAAUAUAUGAAAAAUAAAUGAGCCACUUGGAAAAUGA